CCGGAGGUCAGCAGGGGGCGCUCCCUGCCUUUUCUCGAUUUACUGUGGUCAGGGAAGCCUGCCACCCCUUGCUCCUUGGUACUCGUGGGGAACUCCGCCCCCAGCUUGCCCGGGGGUACGCGGACCAUCGCAAGUCCUCGCCACCCACACCACUGGUGCCCAGCACAAUCAAUCACUCGGAACGCGCUCACACACGGCUCCUCUCCGGGAUCCUAGCCAGCAGACGCUCAGGGCCUUCCAUCUGUCCCCUGCGGGGUCUCAGAUCCUGACGACCUGGGGCUCCCUUUUGCCGCGGGUGACUUAGGCGCCAGGCCUGCAGAGCUCAGGACCAGGAAGGAAUUCCGGGCAUUCCAGAGGGAGAAAUCAACCUAAGUGCUCCCCACACUGGGCAGUCUGCACAGUCAUCAGCUUAGAAAAUGGGGCCAGCCAGAUGACAGAGCACGGGAAGGUGCUUGCCACCAAGCCUGACACGGGAGUCCUGUCCCCAGAUCCCACCCACUGGAAGGCGAGAACAUGCUGCCGCAAGCUGUCCUCCGAUCUCCGCACCCACACGCGGCACACGCACGCCCCGUCCCAUAAAUAAACAAACGUAACAGCAA